GUCGUCGGCUCCAGCAGUGGGGCCACUGAGGCAGUGGCAGCCCCCUGGGGAGCAUUUUGGGGGAAGCAGCACCAUGUACUUCACUGCAGGUCCCUGCCCCGGCGCCCGCCCGCCUGCAGCCGAGAGGGGAGCUUCCAGACGGGGGUGAGGCCCCCGCACCCACUUCAGCCGCCUGAGCCUGGCUCUGUGUCUGGUGAACUGGCCAUCCUUCCUUCUCCCCAGCAGGCGAGCCAUGAAGAACGGGCCCCGCAGGGCCGGCCUGCAGCCUCAGCCGAGUGCGUCCACAGCCAUUAGCGGGAGGCCCCAGCCUGGCUGAUCAGGGCCAACGCACAGCCCACCCCUCACUCUGCUCCCGGGGGGGCUGCCCGGCAAAGCUCCACCCUUGGGGAGAGAACAGGAGCUGAGAAGGAAACGGAGGUUCCAGGGCCAGCAUGGACGUUUGUGUAGGUUGUUCACUGCACAAUGGGGCUGCUCAGGGGGCAUGUGGAGCUGCAGUUCAGCCAGCCCUCACUCGCCGGGCGGAGGGCCCUGGCACCAGCUGCGUCCGCACAGGACAUGGUGCCUGCUCCUGAUCCAUUUGAAGGAGCUCCAGGGGAGGGCUGGGCCUGCCUUGGUCUUGGGAAGACGCCACCUGAGAACUCGAGGCCCUACCUCGUCCCUUUUCUUAAUUGCGUUUUUACUGACUUCUUUUUGGAGCACAUACGUAUGUAUUUUAUCACAUGGGUGCAUUUGUGUAGCCACUGCCACAAGCAGGAUACACAACAGUUCCAUCACCCCAAAACUCCCUGGUGCUGUCCUUUUGUCAGCACGUCCCCCCUCUUUCCUGACCCCUGGCAGCCCCUGGUCUGUUCUCCGCGGCCGCAGUUUUCCCUGUAGACGGUGGAAGCAGACAGUCCGGGCUGAGAUGGGCCUCUCCUACGCAGCGUCCGGGCCCGAGACCCACCCGGGUUGUUGUCUGUAUCAGUGGUUUGUGCCUUUUUGGUGCUGAAUAGCAGCACGUGGUGUGGACGCCCCAGUGUGUUUGUCCACCCACCCACUGAUGGGUGUCCGAGCUGUUUCCAGUCCCGGGCUGUCACCGAUCCAGCCACUGUGGACAUUCAUGCCUCUGUGUCCAUGAACACACACGUCUGUGCACGGAGCUGUGUUUCCUGGCUCUGGGAUCGAUGCCUGGCGGCAGACAGCUGCCACAUGGCAAGAGUUUGACUAACUUUCUAAGAACUUGCCAAGCGGUUUUCCAGAGCAGCUGUGCCAUUCUGCACCUUCGUCCUUGGUGUCUGAGUUCUGGUUGCUCUGUGUGCUUGUCAGCACUUGCUAUUGUCAGGAUUUAAUAUUUUAGCCACUGAGUGGCGUGGAGUGGUGUCUCGUCACGGUUUUGAUUUUCACAUCCUGGUGGCUAAGAAUGUUGAGCAUCUUUUCAUGCCCCUAUUUGUUAUCUGUGUAUCUUCUCCGAUAAAGUGUCUGUACAAGUCCUUUGCCCAUUUUUAAACUGGGCUUUCUUUUAGCUGUCGCGUUUUCAGAGUUCUUUAUACCUUCUGGAUACAAGUCCUUUGUCAGAUGUGGAAUUUGCAAAUAUUUUCUCACGACCUAUGGCCUGUCUUUCCAUUCCCUGAACAGUUUCUUUCACAAAGCAAAAGUUCUUAAUUUUGAAGAAGUAAAAUUAAUCUUUUAUGGAUUGUGUUUUAUUUCCAUGUCUAAGAACUCUUUGCCUAACCCCAAGUUCCUAAGAUUUUCUCCCAAGUUUUCUAAAAGUUUUUUUUUUUUUUUUAAAGAUUGGCACCUGAGCUGACAUCUGUUGGCAAUCUUUUUUCUUCUUCUUCUUCUCCCCAAAUCCCCUGGUACAUAGUUGUAGACUCUAGUUGUGGGUCCUUCUAGUUGUGGCAUGUGGGACGCCACCUCAGCAUGGCUUGAUGAGCGGUUCCAUGUCCGCACCCAGGAUCCGAACCAGCAAAACCCUGGACCACCCAAGUGGAGUGCGAACUUAACCACUCGGCCACAGGCUCACCAUCUAAAAGUUUUAUAGUCACAGAUCUCACAUUUUGGGUCUAUGAUCCAUUGUGAGUUGACUUUUUGUAUAUGGUCUUCCUUCCUUCCUUCCUUUCUUUCUUCCUUUUUCUUUUCUUUUCUUUUCUUUUCUUUUGUAGAUGGAUGUCCAACUAUCCGUCAGUAUUUAUUACAUGAAUGAUUACAGCAGUUGAACACUUGUUUUGUUAAAAAAAGAACCUCAACCUAAACUUCAUAUCUUAUACAAAAUUUAACUCCCGGUGGAUCGUAGACUUAAGUGCACGAGGUAAAGGCGACAGGCGACCACGUCUGUCUCCUGUGAGACUCUCAGCCCAGCUCCACUGGCAGCUGACGUCGAAGUGGUGAGACUUACGCAGCACAAAGGGUAAAUCAAGUGAGAACCCUCUAUGGCCACACUUGCCGUGUCCGGGUUUGAGGACGGGAGUGAGGGACCCAACAGUUACCAAACGUGAACUCUGCACCGAGUACUCCACUCAAUGCUUUCUUUGCA
ensembl:lncRNA